rnacentral:lncRNA from 1 species
UCAAUUUCUGAGUAAGAUUUUAUAAUUUCAAUCUAUUUCUGGAGGCCAAUUCCAUGUUGUCUUGUUCUUGUCGAGUCAAGAUUUAUUUUCCAUUGACAUAGGUCCCUUCCUUGAGUUAAAUGGACCUUUUCUUGUUUCUGUUUGUGGUUUUUUUUUUUAAGUUUCUGAGAAAUAUGUGCUUUGAAGCCACUUUUUUUUACGUGUGACUUUGAUUCUCUUUGUAGAUUUUUUAUUUAUGGAAUGAUAUGUAUAAUCUAUGUAUAAUGAUAUAAAUAUAUUUCAAGUUAUCGAAUAGAAGUCAUAUACACAUAACACCUAUAUCGUAUAAUAAUGAAAAUAUUUUGCAUAAGAACAUAAACAUGCAGUAUUUAGGAAACCUCCCAUCCAUAAUAUUACCAUGACUGUACAUAAUACACUAUUUAAACUCAUAGUAGUUCAAAUCCAGCCACAUUGAUGAGAGAGAUAAUGGUUUCUCUCACCCUCCAGAUUCAACCCAUCUUGGAACAGUAGAAACUAUAACAUUCAUCUUGAAAAGUUUAGCCACUAUGCUAUGAUACAACUUGUAUCCAUUCAAAGCACAAAAGAACUCAUCAAAAGACAACAUACCUGAUUGUCUCCGUGAAAUGAUGGAAUAUCAUAUACAAAGGUGAAAGAAUUUCUUUUGCAAUGAGCUCCAACUGCUGAGGCAUGGCUCCCUUUUAAGAUGUGGGUUCAUGAAGUACUUCAAUCAUCCAUAAUCCAUUAGCUAUGGUCCCUUACCUUUCAUAGCAAUCUGUUGAAAGGCUUGACCAUCAAGUUAAGAGGACUGUUGAGUUUUUAUACUAUAACCAGGUCAGUAAUGGCAUAAUGCUUUUUCCAUGGGUCGCAUUGGUCCACCCUCAAAUUGCUCGUGCAUGUUGAAAGUUCAUUAAACAAUUGCGUUGUAAUAGUGCUAGAGGGCCCAGUGCUCAGGGACCUUG